AGUGCAAAAAUGCACGAUAAAUGAAAAGCAAGAGAUCCAGGUCCUGUCGUAGCAGAUUAGCUACAGAGUUUUGUACUGAGGUGACGGAUGCUGAGCAAGGACAGAGCCACAGAGGCAGAGGCGGGGAGAGAAAUCAUGAGAUAGAGAUUUAUCCCUGUUGGCCUGAGAAUGAAACUAAGUCCUGGCUGAAAUCCCUCUUUGUUGAAGAAGUCGCUGCAGGAGAGAAGUAUUCAAAUAAAAAGAUAAGUUUUAGAAAUUUUAUUUAAGCUAAAACAGCCUCCUUGAAAGUUUUAUGCAUCAAAGAAUAGAGAAAAAGAGCCUAACACUGAGAUCCCCCUGGCUCACAGGGACACUGCAGCCAUCCGAGCUCAGCAUUGCAGGGGUAGCUGUUCUUGCAGCCUGACAUACGCACCAGAGAAUUACCAGGUCUGACCUAGCCCAAUAGUUGCAGCAUUCUUCUCCCACCACCACUACAAAAUGAGUUGCUGAUUGGACCCACAUCAGGCAGUUGUCUGUUUUUCUUGUGGUGGAGCCAAGAUGGAAGGGGAUACUGACAUUUCUCUUAGGGACUGACUUGCAGAUGUCAUUCGCAUGAAAAUUCACCCAUCCAAACUUUACUCCCAUUUCUACUUUGUGCUGCUUCCUGUUAAAUGUCUCCAAAAUAGUGAUGAUGGUUUCAUCUUGCUGUGUUCAUCUUGGCCAGGAGAGCUGGUUUUAUCACAUCUGUAUUUUAACCACAGCCCCAGCUGAAACUAAAAUAUAUUUAAAAAGUAAAAGUAAAGCUGGAUUAACAGCAGUGGAGAUAGAUUUGUGCAAACCCAGUGCAGCUGAAAUUAGAAUCAGGCUUGCUAUGUUUUAUAACAAAGGUAAACGUGUCCUCUUUUUUCAUGGUGCUGGCAAACAAAACAUGUCUGACUCCAUUGGUCAGGCAAAGCAAUUACAUCUCUGAGGUGCUCUGAGAAGAGGCAGGCAAGAAAUGAAUAUGCUGAAGGCAGUUCAAAUUCCUUGAUGUUGAUAUGCAUUGCUGGGCAGCAAAAUGGAUACAUUUUCCUAUGGAUAAAGAACAAAGAAAGCAAGACAGUAAAAAGAGGAAUCUCUCAGCAGAUCCAGGACCAGCACGUCACUCCCUUCCCCACAUUUUAUGAGUGGUUUUGCUCAGUCUGUUUUCACUGUCCUACAUAAUUUCCCCUUUGAAAGUACUGCCAAAUUAUCCUACAGCUGUUAAGGACUAGUGGGCUAUCCCUUCAAGAGAAAGGUUAACAGAGAAUAUCCGUUUAUGUUGCUCACUAAUUAUACCCAAGACAAAAGUAAGCACAACUUAUGAUAAAAAACACCCUCACCUGUAUUACCAACAUCUAUCACCAGGACACAUCCUGACCUUCAGUUCUUUGCAGAUGGUCCUGGAAUGAGCUGUUCCCUGAACUCACUUUCAGUUCCUCACAUAAAGCCCACAUCUCUUUAAGAAGGCCAGAACCCAAACUCAGCUGCACUGGAUGAACCUGGAAGAAGUAAAGUGCAAAAGGCAGACCUUGGCCAGAGUACAUCCCACCACAUGCACUCAGUGUUAGGCCUAUAGUGCACCCAGGGAGAGGGAAGAAGAACAAGUUGGUCCAAUUUCAGCCCACGUGGUGGAUUCCUGUUUCCCAGGGAAAUUCUCAUCGUAUCCGAAUAGAUUUUCUUCCUGGCUGAAAUGUGGUGUGCACAGCUGCUAAGGGUCUGCUCUGCUGGGCUGUGAAAGGUCUCUGCAGCAAACCUCCAAACAAGCAAGGUGUGCUGGCAGGGUUAUGCUCCCAAGAUGCUGUAACUUUCGUUGUAUAGUAUUGUUAUAGUGUUCUUUUCUUUCUCUGUGAUGACAAUAGUACUUGAAGUCUCUGAACUGUCCCUGAAUGUCAUCCAGAGUUAAAUUCAGAACCUUGUGUCAGAAGCUGGAAGAGGAAGCCACAGGUAUUUCAGGAUACUGUAAUGUCUGUGCCUGGUUCUGCAUUGCUAUCUUCUGCAGAUAGAUGUGCAAAACAGGAAGCGGAGGACUGUGCUCCAUUCCACUCUGCCAUGAAUAACCGCUCCCUGAACGGGUGAGGCAAUACAAGUCGUGCUACUAAACCUCUAACAGUUUCAGAAGAAUAGUUUGGAUGGAGGUGGGGUAUUAUGUGCCCUUAUAGGAUUACAGACACUAUAUUAACAUUAAAGUUUCAUCUUUGUACUGUAUGUUUACAUCCUCUUUUGUUGAGUCUGAAGGGGCUUUUCCUCAUUUCCAGCUUGGUUCAAUCAUCUCAGCUGCCAUGACUUCUAAGACAAGGUCCUGUGUUACCGUACCAAAGGCAGACAGCAGCAAAAGGAAUCAGACAGAUUCAUCACACCACAGGCUCAUUCCUGUUGUGCACCACAGCAUGCCACUGUGCUGAGCAUCACCACUCUAUGAAUUUUAGUAAGCAUGAAAAAUAAAGAGCAGAGAGACAAACAGGUGUGCUAACGCCUUGAUCACAAUAUAUAAGAAUCAUAGAAUGGCCUGGGUUGAAAAGGACCACAGUGAUCAUCGAGUUUCAACCCCCCUGCUUUGUGCAGGGUCACCAACCACCGGACCAGGCUGCCCGGAGCCACAGCCAUAGCUUUCGUACAUCCCACAGAACAUCCCAAAAACACUUUAGGGAUUUCAGAUCUGCUACUGCCAAACAUACCAUUCUUCAGAGCACGCAAACCAAGAGCACUGUGCAUGACAAUGAGGAAAGAACCAGAUCUCUCCUAGCAAGUGGACAGCUGUGGCAGAACUAGGAGUCAUGGAUCGCCAGGGACGUGGCAGGAGCCUGCAAGGUGUACUACAGCUGAGAACAGUCACUGGGAACACAAGAAAGCAAGCCACAAAACGUGCUGACUACAGUAUGAGGGUUCUCAUCCUGAAAACAUACUGCACACAUUUUGCACUGAGGAUUAGCCCUGCUGAUAUAGUUAAGAACAUUUCCAACAUUUUAACUUAAAGAUAAUUUCAUAGUUUGCAAAUUCAGGAUCUGUGCUACCUGCCUGAAUGCUCACGGAGGAUUUCCUGAGGUUUCAUUCAUAAAAAAUAUACAUAUAAUUUUUAGCUACCCAGUGAAAACAGUCAUAUUCCUAUGCAUGGAGUAUUUCCAAAUCUGCCAACUUCUCUUUUCCUUUUUCAGUGCAUUCUCUGCAUUAAUCCAGAAAAACCCAUCCAGCAGUAUUUUAUUCAUGCCUGGACAACAGUUCAGAUCCUUAAGUUGGAAACUGUUGUUGAAAAAUGUUGUCUAGUGCCAGCUGAGCUUCUGGAAGGGCAGGGAAUUCCCCACUGAAAGGGAAAGGCACUGCUUUCAGACCUCCCCUCCCUAUCUGCCUCCAGGAAGUGAAGCUCAUUAUGUUUCCCCUGGACUUCGCAAAGCAGAAUCAUCAUCAUCUUGUUUUGUAAAGUAUGUUUUGUGUCAGGUUAACAUUACUCAACUUCUGGGAUGGUUGAAAACACAGAGAGAAUGCACAAAGGACUUUACGUUCCAGAAGCUUCUCCAUUCAAAUCUCUGAAUGCACAGAACAUAGUCAGGGUUAUUAUAGGAAACUAAAAACUAAUGAGUCACUUCUUUAAUGUUAGUGUUGAAUGUAUACUGCAGUUUGUUCAUACAGGAAAUAGUCUGCCCCAGACUGGAGCCAUGAAGGAGCAGAUGUAGUUCAGCCAAAGAGACACUGACACGUAAGCAGUUUCUGUUGUGCCUGAAUUGAGACUGAAGAACAAAACACACAGAGAUUCUGCUGUGCUUUUUAGCAAUGGAGAGAAGCAGCCUUCCCUGCAAGAAGUAAUGGUGGGUGGCCUCAGCCACUCCUCUGGGAAUAGAUCCUGGAUACAGAACUGAAGCAUCUCAGAACUAUGCUGGUUCAUGCAAAGCACUGCAAGUCCUCCACACAAGGUAACUUUCUCCGGAACAGAUGUCCUUUGUGGGUGCACACCAGGCUGCACAUUUGCAGUUUAAAGGCAUUGUGGAACAGUUAGAUCAUCUGUGUGUGGCUGACUGCAGGAAGGAGAGUUGUGUCCAUCAUGAACUCACUCUCUUCAUUGCUGUCUGACCCAAGUGUCAGCUGUACAUCAAAUGGGAACUAAUGCAUGUAGACUGGGAAAACGUGAGAACAAGGAGAGCUCCCAGUGUCCCUACCUGGAGGCAUGGCCCAUCCCAUUCAAUGGUGAGGCUGUUCCCUUUAAUUGAUCUUUGUUUCUUCUGAACAGGAAAGGCUUUUAUUUAACUACUUUUAGUAUUCACUGUGCCAGAUUUCUUUAUGGUACAAAUUGAGCUCUAUAUUUAAAGAACUGUUAGGAAACCAAUUCCAGGAUAAGACUGAAACGCCAUCUCGUUGAUGACUUAUUCUGCACGCAUCCAGAAACCCAACAACAAAGCACUCAAGCUGGCAUUACACUUUCAGCUACGCACUCAGCUUCAGAUGGGCCAAAGGAGAGGUUAAUCACCAGAUAACACAAUUGUCCUGGGAAGUAUUCCAGCAUAUGCCUGUUGCUAAGUGCCAGUACAGUUACCUCCUGCUUGAGUUCCUGCUGAAAGCUUUCCUUCCUCUGUCCCCACUGCCUGCUGCUCUCCCAUCCUGGACCUUUGAGUGCACAGCCUGCAGGUUUACUGCCCUGAAUGUGCCAUGGGCUCUGCCUCCCUGCCUGGGAGGGCAGUGAAGUGCUGCUCAGGGUGCGGUGAACAGACAGCUGUGUCUGGGGGCUUAAUAAUAUGAUUUCAUGUUACACAUCAAACAAGAAUGCAGUAAUUCAGCAACUCUAUUUUAUGCAUCUAAAGGAAACCAGAUGAAGCUCUGCAAUUUUUUUUGAAUCUCCAGAUUCCUUCUGCAAGUCACCUCAUUUCCUAAGUAUUUGUGUUCCCCAAGUCCUCUGCGGAUCAGAAUCUAAUAAGCGUGCAUACUUGCUUGGUCUUUUGGUUUAGACUUCUCACGAAGCUCCAGGUACCCUUUACAGACAGAGAAAACACCGUCUUAGGAGCAGGGCGAGAUUCACUUACAAAGCCCCAGCUUUAACCCAUCCUGCCAAGAUACAUCCUCAGUAGCUACAGCAUGCAAUAAUCCACAGUUAGUUAUUCAGUGGCACAGGGCCACAUAGACCACAAAUACUGCUGUAAUGCUAUGAUGCGAUGGACAGCACAGCAAUAAUAGCAGGGUGGCAAAGUCUCUGGCUACAACAAUAGAAGACAAGCCCAAAUACAGCAGCCACAGGCACAAAAACUAAAGAAGAAACUUUGCUUACCUUUGAAGGCCUCAAGUACGCAGGGAUCUCCAGUAAGAUGCCCUUUCCUCCACUGCCAACCCUUAAAUGAGGUCUGGGAAGGGGUGGAUCCUGGCUCCAGCCCUUCCAUUACUCAGUACGUUGCACACAGCUGAGCUCCGCUGGGUUAGCCCUGCCUUCCCACCAGGUGCUCCAUCACUGCUUCAAGCUGUGACUUAGCAUUUCUGCUACAGCUGCAUUCUUAGAGAACUCGACUGCUGGCUUUCACUUUAGCAGAUGAGUCAGUGGACCUCACAUGCCCAUUUCAUACAGCCAGGCAAAUGCUGUAGUAUGUUCAAGUUAAUACUUAAACAUGCAUCCUAGUUCAUCGUGUCUUGCUUUUCAUAUACAUGUUCUUUUGUUAAUUGUUAAUAAUAUUGUUGUUGUUAAAUUCAUUAUUGCAUUCAAUCAGAUACCUUAACCCACCGUGGAGUUCCACUGCCCACACAGUGUAAGUUUACUGGACAGUGCACACUCCAAAACAUUUCUCCUUUGAGGGCCAGACCCCCUGAAAACCUUUUAGUCCAGGUGUAGCUGAACCAACACCAGAAAGACUACGCUAAAACAGCUAUACCCUAUGGGAAGCAGAAUGGCAAUGGAGAACACAGACCUUCCUGUGCCCAUAGGCACGGCACUGCCAGCAUGGCUGGGGCUGAGCUGCGGUGCUGGAGGACCUCCAUGACAGAGGCAGGAAGCCCAGAGGUGUUGGAGGUGUGCCCGUGGCCAGACAGAAGCUGCAGGCCUUGCCUGGCUCUUAGCCUGUGUGAGCUAGGGAGUUAAUGGCCUCAGAGGUGCAUCGCAGGCAGGGUUCAGCUUUGCAAGGACUCAGGAACAGAGGAUUUGCUGCAGGUGGCUGGAGUGCAGUGACUGGCAUCCCACCAGCCUAGAGACAGUAUGGGUAAUUAUGUCAGGCUUAUUGUUAAAUCAGCAUUUCUGACUGGAGGCACUGAAAAGCUAAUUUGAUGACUGCAUCUCUCCAGAUCCUAGGUUUAUGUUAUUAAUCUCUGCAAUUGCCUUGCAUUUAUGUCUGUGGGUAGCAGAUGUCCUUAAGGCAUGAGUAUAGACAGUGUACCAGAAAGCUGAAGAGCUUGAAUUUCCUGCUCCUCAUAUGCUCUCAUGGCUUGAAUACUGAUGAGAGCCCAUGCUUGACUGGUGAGUGUUUUUCCUGUGUCUGAGGCAGCCGAGGAAUUCAGGACACAUAUAACACUGGGGUGCAGGCUGGGGCAGGAGUUCAGUUUAGUGAUGGCUAGGGAGUUCAGAUAAUUCCUCCAUUUUACUACGCUGACUGCUGUAGGAUAAGGCCAGAAGUAAACAACUGAGUUUUCAUUAACCGGUAUACAACAAGAGGCAGGGUGAGUGGCUGCAUCUCAGUUAGGACUUCUGGACUUAAAGCACUGCUCAAUUUCAUCUGUGCUAAAGCUUUUUUAAAUGGAAAUAAAAGAUGUCACUGGGAUGCGGACAGCUUGGGGUAGGUUUACUCUUAGGAUCAGAGAUCUGGAAUAAAAGAGCUGGUGACAGUUCAUUGGUAGCCCUUGCUUGGCCUCUGCCAGUGACAGUGGGGUUUCUGCUUGGUUGCUGAUUGCUCUCAUUUGUGUCCCAGGGCGCAAUGAUUUCCGUUAUGUGUAGGGUUAGAGUUAAUAUUUUGAGUUAUGUGAGAUCUGCAGAUCUUGUUUUAUGAUUUGCUAUAUGACUGACUGCAUCAGAAUUAAGAACAAAGUAUAAGGGAAUAACGAGCUUUCGUCUGCUCCAAGGCUGGGAGUCAGCAGGGUAGGACCACACUGGGAUUAGUAUGAGGAUUAACGAGAAAUUCAAGGUUGGAGAUGAUGAAGGACUCAGUUUGUUAUCUGUUCGUACAGGUUGGCCUGUAUUUUCUAUUGAGAAAUGUGUGCAUGAUUUCUGUCUGACUCUCGAGGAGGUAUCUGUCCCUUAGGGCUGGGUACAGCUGUAGGCCAUGCCUUUGGUCACACAUGCAGAUUCUUCUGGACCUUUCCCAGCUCUGCUAUGGUUGUUUUCAACAUCUGCGAUGGCACAGAACUCCAUGCAGCAUUCAGAGACACAAACGUGUAACAGGCUGACGUGGUGGCACGGUGACAACAUCUGGCUCCUUCCCCAGUUAUCCCUAACAUUGCAUUCUGUUGUUGAAUGCUGAUUUGCAAGAUUCCUCCCUGGGCUGGCGGUUCCACUCAGAAAUGGUAAGUGUCAGUCUGUAAUCAGGGACUCUGUAAUCCAUAGAUUAGUGGCUCCGUACUCUAAAUCUCCAUCUGUUGUGCACACUGGAAUCAUUACAUGUCUGGUCUCAGACCUGCUUCAGGCUUCUGAGCUUUUCCUGCAGGAUUUCCUUUGUUGUGCAAAGCGGCCCGUUGUGGCUGUCACUCGGUGCGGCAGUCACUGCACAGCGGCCCGGCGUCGGUGCAGCGCGGGCUGUGCUGCUCCUCUGUCCAAGCACGGAUGGGGCUGAGGAGUGUAUUUUUCUGCCACGUUCAGAAACGCAGCUCUCGGCAGAGCCAUGGCGCGCUUCCAACCGUGAGCAUUUUGGUACGUUUAGGCAGCCUCCCACACAACCAAAAACUGCUGCUCUCCAAAUGGGUGCAGGGAGGACAGAACCCUUUGGGGCGCACACAGCUGCGCUCAGAGAAGCGGUGAGCGUUGGCCGUGCUGCCCCGACAGCUGCAGCUGUAACACAGUGCAGUUCCUCGCUCACCAAAGCCUGUUUUACCCAAGGAUAAAAGGCUGCACAACGUGCACAGCUCUGCUCGGCUGCGUGGCACAACUGAACAGCAGCUUCUUUCUCUUCUGUGUGCAGGAGUCACAUUGAGGCUUGCACGGCCACUUGGCCACCUUCUAAAUAACCUAAAGCCCUUUAAGGAGCAUGGCCUGGAGAGUCAAAUGCAUGUAGUGUACCAGGACGGCAGCACAAAACAUCGGCACCUCAGGAAGGUGAAGUCUGGCAAAAUGACAACUUGUUCUCCAUCAUUUUCGUUGCGUUUUUAUUUUUUUCAAGCCGUGACCAGCUGUUGCUCAGCCUUCUUCCCACACGGUUUGUUCGCACUGUAUGCCAGCUCGCCUUCCAGCGCUGUUUGCGUCCCUCUGCACGGAACCCUCGCCUCAACUCUCCGACUGCCACGGCGGAGUUUUCCGCGUACAAACGGACCUCGCGCCACAACCGCCCCCGGGGAGCGGGUGGGGACGGCGGCGCAGAGAGCGGCAGCGCCCCCUGCCGGCCGGCGGCUCUCUCUGCGUCUCGCGGAGUCGCGCGCAGCGCUCGCGGCGCGGUGCUGAGGAGCCCGCGGGUAACGCAGAGCACAGGACGGUCUCCGACGCGUGGGCGAUCUGCCGUGCUGACGGGCCGGGGCUGUGCAUCACCUCCGCACUGCGCUGCCUCUCCGUAGCUGUUAACUGAAUCUCAUUCUUUUUUACAGGCUGGUGUAGGAAGUCAGCUCUCAGCAGCUCACAGCAUCGGUGUGCAGAGUUUGCAAAAGAAAUUGUGAUGUCUUUUUCAGAGCCCGAUAAGGGUGCCCCCAUCUACCUGAGCUCCCAAAACAGCAGCAUCUUCUGUUUACUUUUCCCUGGUACACAGGUGUAGCACAAAGUCAGUAAUGCAAAGAUGGGCCCAGGCAGGGAGAGCUGCCUGCCUUCCUCCCACCAACUGAUGACCUCAGCAUAUCCACUGCAGCAUGUUCCCUCCACCUGUGCUCCCAGCUGUGCUGUGCUACAGCCCCCCUGGGCCCUCCCCAUCCACCUGGGGGCUGUGAGCACAUCAAAGCAGAGCAGAGCAGGACAGAAAGGUGCGUUCCGUGUGUCUCAGUUGUUCAGCCUUAACAUGACACAGUCACGGAGCCGCAGGGGCUGGAAGGGACCUCCAGGGCUCCCCGAGCCCAACCCCACACAGCAGGCAGCACAGAAACGCAUCUGGACAGGUAUGGGUACCCCCAGAGCAGGAGACUCCCCGGCUCUCAGCAGCCUGGGCUGGGGCUCUGCUGCCCACAGCAGCACAAACAGAUUGCAGACAGACACUGAACAGCUCUGUGAAUGUAAAGUGAGAUCUUUUUUUAAAAAUGCUGCUGUUUUAUUCUUUCUUUAUACAAACUAAAACACCAGAGGUCAUUGAAUCCUAUAUUAAAUACAUAAAUUAAAAAAUAACCAUUCAUAAAACUUUACAUACAAUAAGGAUUCUCUUCUACACAUUAAUACAUAUAAUACAGAUACGUGUCCAGUGUUUAUCAAAGGGUCAUUCUGCCAAGUCAUUAACACUUCUGUUCUGGAAUAAACACACACACACACAAAAAAAAAAAAAAGAAAAGAACAAAACUCUAUUUAAAAACACACAGGGGCUGAUGUGAAAGAGGGCAGGGAAAAACAAACAAACUUUCAGUAGCCAGCAAUUGUAUGGCUGUUCAUUGAACCUCGCCCCCAUGAGAAGAAGCCUGGCCUAUCCAGUCUCAUGGGGUGCCAGAAAGCUGAAAGCUUUGAGGUUCAGAGAAUAUUCACCACUGAGAUGACAGCAGGGAGUUGGAAAAUGGAGCAAGUGUGCAAAAAAAAAAAAAAACAAAAUAAAAUUUACAUGGGUCUCCAGGCAUGCCAGUGAGAAUAGAGCUGUGAGCCAGGCUGGUAAUACUGCAAGAAGCCCUAUUUCCUUCUCAAACCAAAUUGCCUAAAUUCAUCUCACCAACUAGGUCUUUGAAGUGCUUGAAUUGAAAGAAGUGUCUUUGGACUCUCCUGAUUUGGUGGAGAAGUAGGAGAAAAAGUGGCAAGUCUGAUUUUUCUUCAGCUGACUUUCAUCAUGUACAUGCCUCAUCCACUGCUGUGAUGGUCUGGAAGUUCUGGAGUGCUGUGGUCCUGCUCCAGUACAGACAGGAGGAAUCAGGGCUAUGUUUACAGUCCUCAUUUGAGGCUGAUUUGAGGAAGGGGCUGCAGAGACUCAUUUGAGAGAACUCUCAAUACCUUGCCUCAGAGAACAUCAGGAAAAACAGAAAGCCUUGGAUGACAGCUUUAGGACAAAGAAUGGUGGAAGGAAAAAGAAAAAAAAAAAAGAAAAAUAAGGAAAAACAGAGCCACGAAGAAGUUGCACAUAAGAUGUGAGACUAAACCAUGAGUGUAGCAGCUGCUGUAGCUAAACAGGUCUAGACUGAAUUCCCCAUACCUAGACUGGAAAUAUACUUUCAUAAGCUAUAGCAAUGAUUUCCUAUAUACAAUAGGGACUAGACAGAUAGAUGUGCAUAUAUAUGUAUAUGUAUCUAUAUAACAUAGAUACAUAUAUAUAUAUAUCUCCAAACAUUUUGUAUCAAACUCAUUUUUGUCAGGCUGACUGGAGGAAGCUUGUAUUUUACCAACAAGUGUGUUUUAGGCAUGGCUCAUGUAAUGCUGCAAGGAGAAUAAAGCAGCUGUUGUUCAGCUCUCUGGAGGAACUCCAGCAAUCUUUCUAAAGUUAGCAACCAUUUACAUGUCACAUCACAGUAACCUGUGGAUGCUCUGCCACCUCCCACCCCUCCCUAAGCCCUUGGAAAUGCAGCACCUGCAUGCAUAUGUAAUAAGAAAGAGUAAGGGAGGGGAAAUCAGGCAAGAGAAAUGAGCACAAGAUGUGCACAGCACAGCUCAGAGGGCCUAAAUAAUGAAGCUUGUCACAAAAUCAGCGAGGUAUGUUCUAAAACCAGACAACGUUAUCUGUGCUAUGCUUCUGCCCUGCAAUUGUCUAUAACAAACAUUUCCAGUACGCUUUUUUUUUUUUUUUAACCAAAGCAGAGAUGGAAGUUAUUGCACCACCUUGGAAAACACGUGCUGUGCUCAUUGUUACUUAAGAUGAGCCUGGCAUUAUAAUAUCUAAGAAAAAGUUUCCAGGUUGCAUUUACUUCCCGCGUACUACUGCAGCCAAGUGGUAUGAAAUGAAAUUGUGCUCCAGCAAGGGAGAGAGAACAGUGGAAAGGGGAAGAGGGAAUAACCAGACAGGAAAAAAAAAACAACUUUUUGCAGUUAACAAGAAAUUGUGAAGUGAUCCCAGUGUGUCACAGGUGUGGGAAGAGGCUCUCAAAGGCCUGACUCCAAAGCUUCAUGACUGAAUUGGCAGCAGCACCCUUGGAAAGCACAGGUGAUAAGUUUGGGUCAACCUUACCCAUAGAUUCUUCUGCAACAUAGAGCAUGCAACAUACCAGCAUUCAUGUAACAUACCUGCCUACAAGCCUGUUAAAAAAAAUAAAAUGGGACCAACAAACACAACUUGUGCAGAAUUCAGUAAACCCCUCGACUAAAACAGAUUGCUUCAAGCAGCUCUGUUCAUUUUGCAAUUUAAAUUAAUUUUAAGGAGCAAAAAGUUGCUAGUAGCUUAUAACCUUUAAUGGAGGGCUCAACAGAACUUCCAGACAUGCACAAAAUGAGGAUGUUCUCAGUCUCUGGACAAACAGAGCCCAGUGUUGGAUCUAUAGGCAUUAAUGAGUAAAAGGUACUCUGGCUCCAAAACAUCUGAGGGACAGGCAUCCUCUGCACAAGAUUAACUUCAUUCCUGCUAUGGCCGAGGAAUAGCUUUUGCCCUGCUGAGUUGCUGUGCAAGUUACUUCACUGCUUUGUGCCUCAGUUGCCCCAUCUGUGAAAAUGAACAGGCAAACAAAGGUAAGACUCUUUGUAAAGCACUUUUAAAGCUUCUGGUAUGCAGAGUCUGUGUGCGUAAAAUUUGGAACGUGAGCCCUCUUUUGAAGGUCUAACUAAUGCACAGGCUGUCUUCUACACUGUUAUGUGGAAAUCCAUUUUUCCUAGCUGAAAUUAAGGCUCUGCUGUAGAAGACACAGCUCAAAUAAGCUUUGCCACAGGAACCUGAAGUCUGCACAGAAAAGACUCCAUUUCCAGGGAAAUAAAAACAGAGGCAGAGAAGCGCAUUGCCAUGCCUAGCUCAUACAGCACACCAUGAGAAAGGGGAAGAUGGAAGCAAAGCUGCAUCCAACAGACACAGAAGCUCGGCAGGGUUUGUUGCAGGUGCCAGCUCUCCUUGGGGUUUGCUUCUUACCGACUAAAGGGACAUGCAGCUGUGAGGGCACUGCUUGCCUGAGGGAGACACCAGGACUGGGUUCCAGACUUUGUCAUGACAAAGAUACGUAAUGCUUUGAAAUGGAAAUGAUUUCUAGUUAUUCUUAAUUAUGGAAAAAACAGACUAAUAACACUACUUCUCAUAUCUAGUAAAGAUGUCUUCACAUGGCUUUCCCCACUAUUUGGUAAACGCAUUCUUGGUCAAGAAGCCAGCUAACAAAAUCAGCUUGACAAGCCAAACCAAAACAUUUAUAGGGGUUUCUUAUGCUCAGUAGGAUCAAGGCUGGAACAAAAUACCUGAAAGCUGAUGCUUCAUGGAUCAUACAACACAGACACUGCGGAUUACUUUCUUUCCUUUCCCCUUGAACACAUCUUUUUCUUUCUCAGAAGCCAGGCUGUAGGUUCAAUCCAGUGCUCCUCCAUAUAUUGUUCUUUUAGUGAAACCAAAUAUGGAAGUCUGAGAAGUAUCCGACAAAGGACAGGCUUUUCUUCAUGCAGGGAAUAUGAAAAGGUAAGGCUACAACUCUGCCAGAAACAUUCCUCAUGCCCCACAUCUGAUUUUUCCCUCCCUCUGCCAUGUAGAAUGGUGCCUUAUAAUGAUCUCAAAUACAAAACAUGGUGUCUUGUCCUGCCCACAGUGCAAUAAGCCAGAAUAUUUUUUUUUUGCCCCCACAUUGCAGCUGUCAUUGUUCCUGAGAUGAAAACCAAAGGGAGAAAGAAAGAGCCUCCCUGCAGUGAGAAGGUCCAACAGUUCAAACAGAACACUUCAUGGUGUAAACAACGUUCUCUUCAUUGGGGGGUUGGAAGCAUUUGCCUUUCUAGGGACAAAUCUGUGUGGUCAGGUGCUCUAAAAGUAUAAGAAAAAGAACAUCAGAUAAGUUCUCUGCCUACCUAUUCAGCUGACAAACAGAAUCUAUCAGUGAGAAAAAGGAUUUCUUCUUACAUUACUAGCUAACCAGACAGACUGUUUCUCCUCCCCACCUACUGGACCCUACAGAGUACAGCCUUCUGGUCAACACAAGUUACCACAGGUAUCUUCAGGCAAAUAGUUACACAUCAGCCCAUGGAAAACUGUCAGUUUCAUUAACUCUUGUACCAAGGUUGCCUAAAAUUCACCAGAUAUGACAUCAGGUAAUGUGUUUGUGGUUUCACAACAACUCUAGGACUUUGGCUGAUUCAGCAAUGAGUGAAAUGCAGACUACUCCUAAUUCGAGGAAAUCUUUCCUGCAUAUGGAGAAGAAUUCUGGGUUUCAGAUUUGAAAUGUGGGAGAAAACAGCUUAGAUUUUCUUUGCUUCCACAGCCUUAAAAUCUACAUGGUAAAACUCACUAGGUGUGAAACUGAUGCAGACCAGACUUCCUUAUGCAAUCACAAGUGAACAUAUAUAUUUAUUCAUAAGCACAGAAAAAAAAACUGCAAAUAGUAAGUUCCCAGAAGGAGCUACAGAAUUCUGGUCUAGAUGCUAAAUACUGCUGCAUAUGGCUUCAUUCACAGACACUGCAUUCUGAUCUUGUUUCAAAUGCUUGUCCCUCCUAAUCUCAAAAAUACAGCAAUGAGCUGUGCUAAUCCUGUCAGAAAAAGAAACCAGAAUGAAUCAUCGGCAGUUGUAUCAGUUUGCUCUCAGAAUUGAAAGACUUAUCAAAUGGUUCCCUAGGUCUAUUUCAAGGAGGUCGUGUGGGGUUUUGCUGUUGUUUUAUUGUAGAUCUGUUUGAAGUCUCUUAUAAGGUUAAUUAAGUCAACAUGCAUCCAGUGGAAAUAAAGCAGUUUUGCAAAGAUCACCCUUAAUGACAUUCACCUUGGUAGUUCUAAAGAACCAGAAACUUUGAUGGCACACUGAAUUUUAUCUGCUAUUCUCUUGAGUAUUUGAUAUUAUAAAAUUUUUGUUGGCUUUUGCAAUUACAAAUGGCAUAGUAUAAUUAGCAAGCUUUGUCAGUUCAUUUACAAGAAUGUUGGACAAUGUUGGUCUGGCUGCAAUGCCAUUUGUUAAGUCAGCAGUGUGAUCACUCUCCACAAUGAACUAUUACAAGUUGACAAUAACUUUCCAGAUUCCCUGACUCUGGACAUGUAUAGGAACACACAACAGUCUGAUCGUCAGCACUGCACAAGAAAUACUACCUUUGAGGAGAAAAAUAAUGUAGUCUUACCUUUCCAAGAGGCACAUUGACAUCAAGGCCAAAGAAUAAAGGCAAGAGAGAAGAACAAGAAUAGAAAUAGAAACUGCAGAAGAAAAAGAAGACAGCAUAAAAGUAAGAAGUCGUGGCAUUGUAAGCACCAGGAUUAGUUCUUUUUGCACUCUGAAGGACAAGUUAAGUAAUUCUACAUUCAGAAUAUACUGUAUUUCCCUAGUUAGAUCUGAAAGUGUCACAUUACGAACAGAUGCCAUUUAUUUUGGUGGCAAACUAGAAUUCACACCAUACUGAAAGCCUGAGAUACAGCUGUCACUGUAAGCCACCGUGGGGUGAUGGAAGACACAAAGCUGGACAUCAAAACUAGCAUGGGUAGUAUUUUGAAGUAGGUUAAAAAAACAGUGCCUGCCAUUUAUGCUGGAAAUAACCUGCAACUACAUGUAUACACACACACACACGGUUAUACAGUAUGCAAACCUAACCAUUAUAUUUUGAAAAACAAACUGGAUGUGUCAUUUUAAUCAUUAAUGAUCUCCUGGAAUGUGAAUUUUAUGAAUAAAAAAUUCUGUGGAAUAUUGGCACUAAGAAGUCUCGUA